UUGCUUUAAAAAGGUGAAAUGAGAGAGCGAAAGUAGAAUAUACUCACCCCAAAGUUGCCUCAGAGUUGCUGAGGUCACUCUUAUUCUCUCAUGUUUGCUCAGACCUCCACUUCAAGAACAGGGACACACAUGACAUUUGGUGCCAAAACCUGGACAGGAAGACUCCUUCAGGAGACUGGUACCCUGUCCUCGUCAUCACUCCGUGAGGCAAUCCACCUAUGACCUUGGGUCCUCAGACCCACCAGCCCAAGGAACAUCUCACCAAUUUCAUAUCGGUUAUGUCUAUUUUUAAAGAAAACUGGAGCUGCCUAUAAUGCUUUAUUGGACAAAUAAUACUUCACUGUGAAACCUUUCCCCAACCACAGCCUCCACGAGAGCAUCCAACAAUGAAAAAUGUUUCUAGGGGUCGCUUAAUAAUGAUGUGGAUUCAUUAAGGAGAAAUCAAAGUCACCCAUAGAGUUAUAGAGAAAAUGGGGAUGGAUUUCCCCAAAUAUGUGCUGACUCUUGGGAAAAACUGCCGAGCCAAAAUGUGUCUACAUGAAAGUUGCUGACUCUACAGAGAUUUCUCGUAAGAGCCUUCCUUCAGUAAUCACUUACACCAGGAUUUCAUGUCAAGCACUGCUUCAAGAGAUCCUAGCCCAGGACAUCCACCCCUCAAAAGACUGCGUCUCUCAGACUUAACAAAUAAAUAAUCAUACUUUGUGUAGUAAAGAAAUAUUUUAACAAAUGAAUACAGAGUGUUUGGAAAUGAAGUAAUGCACAAAGAUAUACCACGCAAAUAUGAACAAAAAAGAUGCUUUUGUAACAAUUUUAAGCCCAAGUAAAAAGCCAAUAGAUACCAAUGAAGAAAUGAAUAGUGUUAUGUUUAUACAAGGUUCAUUGAGCAAUAAAAUACUAGUCACGUUGAAGUGUCUCUGAAUGAAGAAUCAGGUUAAUAAUAGCUGAUUCUAUGUUUUUCAAAUGUCAUUGAUGCUAAUUAUUUUAUUUCACAGACAUUAUAUUCUUCACUCCCACUUUCAAAUUUGAGGAUUUCCACAGAUCUCUAAGAGCAAUUGGUGAAAGCAAAUUGUGUAUCAAGUCCUUCUCAGUGAUUCAGGAAGUUUAGACAACUGUUUUAUUCCAAAUUAAAGUGUGAAACUUGCACAGCUCUAAUUGUGUUAGCUUGGGCUAAUUAUUUCAUAUUUCUGAGUCUUACUUUAAUCAUCUUUAAAAUAAAAAAAGUCCUAAAUUAUAAUAUGUUGAAAACCACACAUAAAAUCUCUUAAAGGACUAUCUUAAUCUCUCAGCAAUACCUGCUCUUUUUAUCUUCCUCUCUCUCCUUUUCCUCCCUCUUCUUUUUUAUCUUCCUCCCUCUCCUUUUUUAAAAUGUAGAAGCCACUAUAUUUUAUGUAAUUUUAAUUCUAAAAUUUUAAUAUUCUAAAAUGAUAUCCUAGUAGAACAGUGAGAAAGAAUGAAAUAAUUUCAUUUUAUUUCAAAAAGAAUUUCAGUAUUUAAAAUGCCUCCAACAUUAUGAUUGUUAUUGACCCUGAUGUUGAUUGAAAUAUGAAAGGGCAGAAUUACACAUUCAGAUGUAAUGGAACUUCCUUACGUUACACAAAUUAGAAACUAUAUCAAAGAGAAUGUUUAGAUUUUGUUGUAAUAUUUUCAGAAAGAUAAUAAAAUAUUUCCAUGUGUCAGCAAGAAGACAAAGAAAUAUCUCUAGUAUGCCCAUACCAUAAUCCUGUUUCCUCCAAAAUCCUCAGAAAAAGAUAGUGAAGGAAAAUUGCUUUAUUUUCCAAAUGUCAUAGAAUUAUAUAAGCUAAUGAAAUAAAACUGUUCAUGUUGUAAAAAAAUGCAUUAUCGCCUUUUGGAAAAAUCCUCUUAGGACCCAAUGUUUCUCAUUGACCCUGCCCCUUAUCAAAAAUAGCAAUAACAGCAAAUACCAGUACUCCAGGUAAUUCUGACUAUAAACAGUGCCAGAAUUUUUAUCAAGUGCGUAAUUCUUACCUUAAGGAAUCACUUAAGCCCCCUCCAAAUACCAAGUUUCUUUGUUGGAAAUAACUAAUGGCUACCAAGAUACAGCUUUCAUUGUGUUUUUCCCCAUGGUAAUGAAACUGAAUUACCAGACUGUUUGAAAUUAUAGGCAAAAUAGAACUUUUAAAAAAUAUUCAUGAUUGAUUUGAACUAAAUAAAAAUACUGCUUAACUCAUAGCACCAUUUCUUUCUUUCCUUUUUUUUUUUUUUUGAGUUGUUAGAGUCUUAUUCUAUCACCCGGGCUGGAGUACAGUGGUGCUAUCUCAGCUCACUGCAACCUCUGCCUCCUGGCUUAAGCAGUUCUCCUGCCUCAGCAUCCUGAGUAGCUGAGAUUACAGGUGCACCACCACACCCAGCUAAUUUUGUAUUUUUAGUAGAGACAGGGUUUCACAAUGUUGCCCAGGCUGGUCUCGAACUCCUGGCCUCAAGU
rnacentral:lncRNA from 1 species